rnacentral:lncRNA from 1 species
CUGAGACAUUUUGACAUAUGUGGUUAAAUUUUCGGGGUACGAAGUGAGAUUACUUUUUCCGUAAAUUAGCAAACCCCGAGUAUCCUUUUGUGAUGCGGCUCCUCAUGGUAAAAAAUCCCAUUUUUAACACAAUAAGUUCUUUGAAAAUUUAAUACUUUGAACACAUUUAAUAGCUCCAUAGUUUUUACACAUUUAUUCUGUGUUCCCUACUUUCUAAAUUAACUCAAAUGGUUAAGCUCAGUCACUUGUUUAUCAUAGAAAAGUGUCAAAUAUCACUACACAGA